CGAUUGGACUGUAAAAGGUUCUCAGGAGAAGAACACAGUUUAUAGGUAUAAUCUGUUGGAGGAGACAUGGCCUCCAAAAUGAGUGUGUCUGGGGAGCAAGACACAGAGAAAGGCGAGAGGUCACAUUGGUUCAUCUGAGGGCCUACUUCCAGAAAAAGAACACAUACAGGUCAUCGCCAGUGCUUCUGCCUUCUGUACUUCAAAUAUGACAAAUCUACUGCCCAGGUUCUUAAAAUGCUCCAGUUGAUUGCAUGUUCUGCUUGCCCCUGCCUGCUACUCUGUCAGCUGACAGUACUGUUGCUCCUGUUCAGGCAGAUGAUGACAAAUCAGAGUAUGUUGCCCUCCUCUCUACUGCUUAUUAGACCUUGUCAGCUAUUUCACCCAUUUCUCUCUUCCAUUCUCUGAUCUCCAUUGUUAACAAAUCCCACCACGGGUUGAUAAG
ensembl:lncRNA